AUGCUUAUGAAUUCCAGCCAAAUCAUCCUACUAUUUCCUAGUCCUAAAAUUUCAUCUCUUCUUGCUUUUCUACUUGUGAUAUCUGUCUAUCAACCCACAUGCAUUUAUUACGUUCCUUCUAUCUGCCUUUCUUCUAUAGGCCUUGAGGAUACCAAGACAAAAAUGAGAGUAUCUGCUGCUUUUGGAAGUCUCAGAAGCUUACAUACACAUGUAAGGGUGAAAAAAAGACUUUGUUCGAAGAAAUGGCUCUCUCUGGGAAAUAAAGAGGAGACGGACAUAUUCAGAAAGGGACAUUUGGAAGAAAAAGGAGGUUCAAAGAAGAGAGAGGACCUUUGCCUGAGAAAAGGGAAAAUGCUAAAAGGCAACAAUGAUUAAGUAAAACUCUCUAAUUUUUGUUUUGAUUCUGUUUUCUCUGAAAAAAUGAAAUAGAGGAUUUCCAAACAUUCUUGUUGAAAAGAUCAAAGUUGGGUAGAUGCUUUGAAUACAAACACAAGAGAAUCAUAAAAAGUUAAACAUGAGCCAUCAAUCGUAAGAGACUAUAUAAAGAUAAACUGCCCACAUUUUAAUAGAGAGAGAUACUAUGCAUACCCUUACAAAUCUCUCAGAAUCUAUUUUCUUUAAGGGUCAUAGAGGAAAUCUAAUAACAUAGAGGAUAUGUGAGUGAUUUUGUUAUGUUUUCAUGUUCUUAAAAAAAAAGAAAAGAAAGGGAGGAAAAGGGGAAAAAGGAAAAAGAGGACUAGGAGGGGAAAGAUAGAAAAACAGUAGCAGAAAUUAUCUCAUAAUUCAGUUGCACAAGGAAAAGUCUGUACAAAUAAAGAAGAAGAAAUGUGGAGAAGCA
rnacentral:lncRNA from 1 species